rnacentral:snoRNA from 10 species
CCAACAUUUAUUAUGUUAACUUUUGAUAAUAGCCAUCCUAAUGGGUGUGAAGUGGCAUCUCAUAGUGGCUCUCAUUU